GGAGUGGAAGGUUCGGCGUCGCAAAAGUCAUGUUCUUUGCUUGGUUGGCCCUUCGAGAUCAAAUUUGGAUCGCCGAUAGGUUGUCCGAACUUCGGCCUUUGUCCCCUUUGCCGGAGGUGCAAUAAUGUGGAUCCCAUAUCUUCUUCAAAUGUCGUUAGUCUCUUAGGCUUUGGAACUUGGUCAUUGAGAAAUUUCUCCUUGAGGAUCGGGACAGCUCCACCUGGCACAUGGAGGGCGCUAUUGAGGAUUGGGGGCAAGCUGAACCAGUAUUCGUACAUGCAAUAGAAAAGAAAUGGCCUCACUUACUAUGCUUGUAUCAGGGAACAUAUGGAAUGAGUGGAAUGCACAAGUGUUCCAGAACAAGAGCGCGCCCCCACCGAUCAUGUUAAACAUCAUCUUGGAAGAGGCAAAACUUUUGUCAUCGCAAAGGCAAAGAAGCUAUGGUCAAUCAUUUUGCGAGAGUAAUCAUUCCUUUCGGAUUUAUAGGUGAAUUAUAAGAAACUCUAUCCUCUCCUUAAGUAAUAUAUAAGGCAAAUCUUUUGCAUCUGCUUCAAAAAAAAAUAUUGUUGAUCAGGCAUGGAGUCCUACGUACGACGCCAUUGUGCCCACCAUCACGGCUACACGACGGGGCAAUAGGACUCAACAGGGUAAGGUGGUGCACUCACCCUACUUAAAUUUUCUGUGAAUUAUUUUAUGUAUAUGUAUAGAGUUAAUUAAUCGCUAAGAAAAUAGUAGGAACAAAGAAACCAAACACCAGUGAAGGGGUACCACUUGAAGAUGUCACUCCCACCUUCUCAGGCGUUGACGAGUGGUGCAUUGCAUGUGCGCCACUUGUCGCAACCGGACUAUUUUCCUUUUUUCCCUAGAUUCUAUUUUCCAAAUAUUUUAUCUUGUGAACUGUAUGUUCAAAUCACGAACCAUUUCCGUCGUUGGAUUUCUCGCGUAGAGGUCUACGAAACAAGAUCCCAUCUUAAGUUUCCAAGAACCAUUUUUCCUAACAAAAGAAAAAACAGAGCCGGGAGCUCGGUUUUUUCCUCACUUAUUUUUUCCUUUUUCUAGGCACAGAUAUGUGCCUCCACGAGAUGCAAAUUUGUGCUUUUCAUGGAAGCACAAAGAAAAAGUUCAAAAAUAUCCGCAUUGUUUUCACUUUUCAAAGAAGCUAGGUGUGCUUUCUCGCGAAACUAAAUGUGUGCCUUGACAAGAGGCAAAUUUGUACUUCCCAUGGAAGCAAGAAAAAACACGCAAACAAAAUUUGUGAUUUAUCUCUCCUUCCGGUAAGCACAAUUGCGCUUCGCACAGAAACAAAUAUGUGCGUCCGCAAGAAGCAAAUCGUGGGAGAAAUAAAAAUCACGCAAAAAAUCGUCAAUUGUUUCAUGGGCUGUACAUUGGGAAAAAAUUGUGCCUACACGAGAAGCGAAUUUGUGCUUCUUGUUCAAGAAAAAUAAAUCACAGUUUUCUCCAUUUUUGAGAUGUAUAGUUGUGCUUCUCGCGGAAACAAAUAUGUACCUCCACGAGAAGCAAAUUUGUGCUUCUCGUGGAAACCAAACAAAAUUCGUGCAAAAAAAGUCAUGAUUUUUUUCCUUUUCUGGGAAGCACAGUUGUGCUCUGUGCUUCUCGUGGAACCAAAUUUGUGCCUCCACAAAAAUCAAAUAUGUGCUUCUCGUGGAAGAAAAAAAUCACACAAAAAUAAUUCACUAAUUUUUUCCUCUAAAACCUAAAUCAACACGUAAGCCAAAAGGCCAAAAAAAACCGCAAAACCAAUCUAAAACCUGAAAACUUGUACAGAAAUAUAAAAAUCGAAAUCUAGAGGGAGCGUUCAGCACGUAACGCAUGGCGGCAGCAGCACGCACCAUUUGAUGCUCUCUCAACCCACAAAAAUGACCCUUGCGGGAGCCAUGUAGUUAGUUGCUCUCACAAGAAAGCCAGCUAUAUAUCAACGUGUCAUGUGUUAUACAUGAACCGAGCCCACAACCAUCAUCGAUCUAAUUGGUCAUCGACUUAUUGCUAGUUAUAUCUCGCUUGCAGCGAGAUAGCCCUCGCUCAUGGUUUUUUGGGUAGCUACAGUAUGGGCCAGCCCAUUUCAUCUAAUUGCAUAGCGAGUUUUUCAGUGAGGUUUUUCUCUCUACGUUUUCUGUGUUCUUUUUUGACCUUUUAUGGUUUUUUGCGCUGUUUUUUUUAUUUCUUCAGUUUUCUUUUCUUUCUUACUCACGGUUUUUUUUCUCUUUGCUAUACUUUGGUAUUUUACCGGGUUUCUUCUGUUGCUUUGUUUUUUGUUUUCUUCUAGGUUAUCUAUGUUUCUAAAUGGUUUUCUUUGUUUCUCACCCUUUUUCAUUUUUUUGGUAUUUUAUAGUUUUUUUAUUUCUAUGUUUCUUUCUGGGCUUCCAUUGGUUUUCUUUCUUUCUUCACUUUUCUUUGUUUUUCUUUCUCGGUUUUUAUUCAUUUUCUUCACUUUCCUUUUUCCAUUUUUUUAUGGACCAGAACAUUAUUUAUACACAUGUUUAAUAUCUUUCAAAUACAUGAUUAACAUUUUCUGGAAAACUUAUUUUGUUUGAUGUCUACAUUUUUUCAUACACAUUUCAUAUUUUCUGCAUACAUCUGAAAAAAAUUCAUAUACACAUUUCACAUUUUGAAAAAAACAUGUUUUGUUAAAACAUAUAUUUUUGAUAUCUGAUUUUUUCCAUAAACACUGUAGAAAAAAUUGUAUGCACGAGGAACAUUUUAUGUAUACACGCUUAAUAAUUUUCAAAUACGUUAGUAACAUACUUAAAUGAAUACUUUUUAUGUCCAUUUUUUCCAUACACUUCCGUAUACAUUAGAAAAAAAAUUUGUAUACACGUUCAACAUUUUCUGGGCUAAUUAUGCCAUUGAGCAAACUUAGCUCUUUUUUUCUUAGGGUAAGUCAGGUAUCUUCUUGAUCUAUGUGUAAAUUUUCAAACGUGAAACGUACAGUUUUUUGUGGACAAAGGAAGUAUGUUACUAACAAAAACUAGCAACACAUGCAUGUUACUAAUCUAAGUAAACCUAAAGAGACGCAAUGUCUCUUGACUAGGAAUUGACGUUUCUUUGUAUCAUCGCAUCUGUUCUGAACAUAUUGUACUCCAUCUGUCUUAAAAUGUAGACGUUUCUUGACAAUACAUUAUGAGACAUAGAGGGUGUAAUUUUUUUUCCAUACAAGAGUUCAUUUGCCAUUCGCAUCUACUCUAGUAGUAUUGCUUUUGCCUUGGAACAGAACGGACCCAUGACAUGCAUCGGCCGCUAGGACGCGCAUGCGAGAUGACAAGUGUAGAUAGCUCCCGAUGCCGCCGCGCGCCUCCUCCAACCGGUGCGAGGCACUAUUUUUCCUCAAACGCGCCCACGAAUUGCAGUACGCAUGCCUGCGGGUCUCCGGCUGCCAUCCUUCCCGAGGAAAGCCCGAUUGGCGCACCGCGCGGCGCGGUACAGAACGUCCGAACACCAUUGAACCAAAGCUCAUCCACAUCCCCUAGCUUGCAUAGUUACCUUUACUUUUUCUAUCGGAUGAUGCUCCUAGCUAGUGUACGCAUCCACAUCGAGCGAUCCAGUAUAUAUACUAUAUGUACAUAUAGCAUGUGCUUAUCACUGAGACGUGCCUCUGCUUGUGAACUUGUAACUUUUCAGCAGAAUUCAUCCUCGACAGAAAAAUAUUUUCGGUAAUCAAAACUAGCUACUCAACAAGUUCAAACGGAAAAACCCUAAACGGAGAAUCGUGUUGAGGCCAAGCACAGUCAGCAACUAAAACGAGAUUAACCGGGAGGCAGCGAGUAGUACUACUACUAGGUCGAGAAGGUACCACAACCACCUCCAUCUUUAUAAACCCACACCCACCUCGCCCUGUCUCGCCAACAAGUCCUCUACCAUCUCCCUCCCAACCUGUAGCCAGGCGACAUCUUCAACAGAAGAAGCAGCGAGCAAGCCAAGAUGGAGGCGCUGAAGCAGAAGGCGAAGGACAUGGUCACCACGCGCGAGGGCGCGCUGGGAGCCGUGGCGGUGGUCGCCGGCGCCGUGGGCGCCUACUUCUUCUGGCCUGCCGGUGUGGCCGCCGGCGCCAUGAUGAAGGCCCCAGGCGCCGCCGGAUUCCUCAUCUCACGCGCGGCCUUCCUGGCCAACCCGCAGCUCUACUUCCAUCUCCUGCGCACCGCCGGACCCAAGGCAGCGGCCGCCGCCUUCCUUUAGUAGGGAAGCGCAGCACAUGCAUGCAUGCAUGCAUGUCCCUUCCGUCGAUCUACUGAAGUCAGUGCUGUCUCUGUCUACUAGAAAUGUUCGGUGUGUGUUGAUCUAUCUUAUAUUACUAGUGUACUACUCCAGAUCUGUUGAUCUGCCGCUAGCUAGUUCCUUCUGUCGAUCCUACCGAAGUUCCAUGUAAUGCCCAAGAAGAUGCUGUGUGUGUCAAGUUAUCUUAGUGUGCUCUGUUGAUUUGCAUGUCUCUUAAUUAUGAUCUGUGAUCUAGUAUAUCCUACAACGUCAGGUUGAAGAUGGAUCUAGCAUUUGUGUGCAGCACAUUUGAGGCUGAGCAUCCAGUGUUUUUUCCGGUUCUUUCUUGUGUGACAUUGCGCUGUAAGCAUUAAUUUGCCCGUUUUUCUGUCUGGGUUCUUAGGAGUGUGUGGGCCAGAUGAUCUGUCUCCUUUACGAAAAAGAAACAACUCGUCUUGAUUUCUCGCCUCCAUCUUCUUUUGUUCCUCUCUUUACUGCAGGACAUGUCGUGCUCAUCAGCUUCUCCUCCCUGGAGUAGUGGUUCUAGUUUGUUAACAAUCUCUUCAUAGUUUUGGACAGAUGAGAAAGCAAGGAUUAAUUUCUUUUCUUUAUUAACAGAUCUUUGUAAUGGUUGACAGUUGACACUCGGUUAGCAUGCAAACGUUUCCGAAACUCGGUUAGAAUGUUUGCAUCACAAUAUUGCCGAUGUUUCUUCUCUGAAAAGGAGCGAUGAAGAAAGAUGAAAAGGAUGAAUACACCGUAGUCACUGGCUACUAGCACCAUGCCACUUGCCUGUUUUGGUGACAUUAAAAUAUGUUUCUUAAUUCUAAAAUCAGUGCUUCUUUUCUGAAUGUAGACUUGAGGAUUGUAGCCGUAUAUUUUUCCUGCUCAGUCAUGCACUCAGUUUCCAACAAAGGAUUUGAUCCUGUGUAUUAUUGCUCUAAUUGUUAACUUCGAAAAAUGUAUCAGAUCCAUUGAGCCUCAACCACAAACAAAACAUGAACAAGACCGAAAGGCCAUAGAUGUUUAGUGCAUCAGCAUUGACUAGAUUGCUGAUGCUAGUGCAAGUGUGAGACUGUUAGAACUAUGCCCUGGAGGCAAUAAUAAAAGUUGAUAUUGUUUUAUGGGACAUUUACAUUUGUGCCCAUAACUGGAACCAACUACUCAUAUUUGCCCCUAAUUUCGAAGCAUACCCAAAUCUAUCCCUCUGUCGUUAGUUGCCCUUAUAGAACUGCCCUUUUGCGUCGUUACCGUCCGAUCAAAGGGCUUUGACCAUCUCGAUAAAAUUAGCAGAAAAAUCUGAAAUUUUGUGGGAUCAAAGAUAGUUAGGUGCUUGUCAAUUUUCUUGAUGUUUAGACAUACCAGGAGCAUGUGGCAAUGGAAAACAAUAAAUCUGUACGACUGUGAAUAGUAAAUUCAAAGAAAAUAGCAAGAAAAUUCAAAAAGUACGAAAUUUUUUGGCAUCCAAGAUGCUCGGAUGCGCAAGGUGUGUGCAAUUUUUUUUAUCAAAUGACAUGCAAGGAGCUCUAGCAAAAAAACAAAAUAGUGUAUUUGUUCAAAGUUUUUUCCGAGCCAGAUUUUGUUUUUUUCGCGCGCUCCUACAAUGUCCAAGCACAACAAAAUUUUGCACACACCUUGUGCACCCGAGCAUCUUGGAUGCCAAAAAAAUUCAUACUUUUUUGAAUUUUCUUGCUACCUUUUGAAUUUACUGUUCACAGGCGUACUGAUUUACUGUUUUUCCUUCGCCAUGAGCUCCUAGAGUGUCCAAACAACAUGAAAAUUUGCACGCACCUUGCGCACUUGAGUACCUUCAAUCCCACAAAAUUUCAGAUUUUUUUGCUAUUUUUUCGAGACGGUCAAAGCCCUUUGCCCGGACAUUAAGGGCGCGGAAGGGCAUUUCUAUGAGGGCAACUAAUGGCAGAGGGACAAAUUUGGGCAUGCUUCGAAAUUAGGGGCAAAUCUGACUAGUGGAUUCCAGUUAGGGGCAAAAAUGUAAAUGUCCCUUGUUUUAUUUGCAUGUUCGUAAUUAAGUUUAUAUUUCAAUGCUAGAAUUGCAUUGGUUUUUGAAAGUGAGAUUUAGAGGAAAACCAAAUUUCAUGUUUAGAGAUAUAAACGCGAAACAGAGUUAGACCUCUGGACUUGCUCAUGUAUUGUUGAUGGUUCUGCUUUCAUGGCCAUGUGCAUAGUUAACGUAACGAGGAUGAAAAAAAUGAUCAGAGCAUGUUGUUAGGGUAAUAAUGAUGUUGGAUAGAUCCAUCGUAUUGUAUAACGCGAGUUCGUGUUGUCAAUAUGUUGUAUGUUACUCUAUAACUGGGUAAUUAUAAAGUUAACUUUUGGUAACGCAAGGAAGUAUGUCGUGGUACUAGAUAUGUGAAGACUUAAACUUGCCCCUCCGGCGAUCGAUAUAUACACUCUCAGACCACAUGGUAUUACACUGUCUGGCAUCUCUUGACCAUGUAUUGUGACUAAGGAAUUAGUCAUGUGCAUCCCGAAAUACGAUUACAAGGAAAGAGUACAAACCUGUAAUGAGGAUAACUACGUAUAGUGAUCAAGUAGUUGUCACAACGAUACAAUCAAAGUCUCCCCUCAUGUUUGGUAACGUAUGGAGAGGGAAAGGCAAUUGCAUGCGAUAAAAAAAGUUUUUUUUAUAAAGAUCUACAAUGUUAUGUGGGGAUUAUUGUGCGUGUCCAGAUCUCACUAAUAAUUAUUGACUAGAAGGUGUUACAAACUUGUCCAUGUAGUCUUGAACCUAUAGGGUCACACGCUUAAUGAUUAGCAACAUAUAGGAGUAAUAUGUGAUAAUCAAGAACAAGAUAGAAGGGGUCCAAAAGUAUUUUGAUAAUAUCAAAAUUGUUCCCGGAGGUCCCGAGAGCGUCCCAGUGAUAUCAUGUAGUGUCUCAGAAUGUUCUGUAAGGUGGCGAAAGCUCCAAUAUGUUCCAAAAACCUUUUGAAAAUUCUGGAAGGAUCCUAAUGCCACCUACCCCCUGCCUUGGGGGCAAGGCGGCCCAUAGGGCCCAAGUCGGCCAACCCCCCUAUUUCUUGGGGGGGCAAACCAACAAAAGGGGUGUGCUCCUACAAGGACUCCACCUCCAUAGGUCGGAUGAAACCCUCACCCCUCCACCUAUAUAUAGGUGUGGGCGCAUCAAGAGAAGUUUGGUACACGCACUCACCCCUAUGGACACAUGUACGAACACCCUACACAUAUAAGCAGCUUCAAGAUAUUGAGGGAAUAACAUCUUGAGAUUAAUGCGAGCAUUAGUGUCAAGAACAUCACUUGAACCCUUGUGGGCUGACUUCACCACCAGGAACCUAACCAUCUAAGCUAUGUCCAUUAUUACCUAUAGUAUUGUCACAAAUAAGACAUCACUGAUGAAGUACCACAACAUGAACCUGAUGCGGCGAUACAUUGCUGUGCAAUCCACAAACUCUUGUCGUUUCAGUCCUGUCACACUGUCCUGAUUGUUCCACAAACCAACACAAAUCAGAGAAUAAACUCUGGAAAUCAGAAACACGAGUGCCAUAACCAAAAAAAAAUCACCCGAGCAAUAUUUAGCAAAUCCCUUCGGUACCAUUAUUUAGAUUGGAGCUUUUCAACUCCAUUUUGAGAUUGACCACAUUUAAAUUUGGACUUAUCAGGUGAUUAACUUUGUUUUUUUUUUGCUUGAGAAACACAAUGCAGACAUAGACACUCACAUAUAUGCAUGUACAAUUAUAACCCUAUAAAGACACACACCACUGGCACUUGGGCACAUAGGUGUCAAACAUGUAGUUUGAUCCAUGGUGUGCUAGGGGUACAACCAUCCGCCUAAUCAUCCAACCACAAAAUGAUUCUCGGUAUUGGCAUAAUUAUGGGUGGGUUUGCAAACUGAAAAAAAAAAGCAUGCUCUACCUUUGUCUAAUCAAACAGCUCGCCAGCCAAAUAAAUCUGGAAUGGAGGGAUAACAACGGUCGAUCCUAUCCAUCUUUAUCCAUGAGGUUUCAUCCUGAUGAUGAUAUAGAGCAUGUGGGUAAUCUCAAAAAAAAAUCUAUAGCAUGUGAGAUUUUAUCUUUAAUGUCCUGCUACCAAAGAUUUGCCAUCGUGGAUAAUUUCCUAAUUAGCAUCCUUAUAUUAGCCACCUUUGGAAUCCAAUAAUCUUAUUCUAAAUUUGGGAGCCUGUCUUAAAACUCAUCCUUAUCUUUGAGGAGUCAUCCGGAUGAUAUCAUGAUUUGACCACGAUUUUAUAUGGCACGUUGUUAAUGCUCCAAUUGAAUUCCUUCCAUCUGCGUUAUUCGGGAAACCUGCUGCUCAGGACUACAAAUAGGAGGGAGCGAGCAAGACAUCCAUACCACACUCGUUUCUCGCAUCACAAGGUCGUUGGCCCCGUAGCACAAGCGAGUUCAUCACAAAACCAGCUGCAAAGGCUCGACGGCGAUGGCUUCCAAGAUGGUCGGCGCCCUCUUGCUGGUCCUCCUGCUGGCGCUCAACCAGAGCGACGCCCAGGUGUUGCCGACCCCCUGCUGCAACCUCAAGUGCUGUGGGUACGAUUGCUGCGGGCCCCCGGUCACAGCCACGGCACCCAUUUCGCCAUUCUCCGCCGCCCCCGAAGCAGGACCGGCCGGCCCGGUUUCGCAGCGCGUGCUCCGCAAGGUCUUCCCCGGAAACUAGCGAUGUUCAGAUGCAUGUAGCGAUGCCCCCCGUGACGUAUGAUUCCAUUGCAAGUGUGCUACUGGCACCUAGCUAGUUUCGCUGGUAUUACGUAUUAUUUUUAGCUUGUAUUCCUGAUUUGUUCUGUUCCAUCGAAACAGCAAUAUAGGAGUUUAUAUCCUGCAGUAGCAUUCCAAUUCUACAGCUAUAAUGUGUGUGCAAUGAUAAACCAUGUUCGAAACACAAAUAAUCCACCCAUCCUUCAGAAGAACAGAACGCAUAAUCCUCCAAUUAAAUCUGCCGAACCUGAAUCAGCUAUAGCUGCUCUAGUCUGGAUCAGUCCUUCAUCUCGGCUGCCUUCUCGUCUCCCAGAACAAUAUUGUUUCCUAAAAAGUAGUCAUACAUGUUCCCUUUAGGUGGACAAAAUUCAUAACCGGUUUAGCAACUGCGCCUACUAAAAAUAGCUUAGGAUAGGUUUUUACCCCUUUUUCUUGAAAAAAAUAUAUUUUUGAAUGUGGCCUCAGUGCUCAUACAACCAUAAGGCGUUUGAAUGUGGUCAAUCCCAAGGUUUCCCCAAAAAAGUUUUUGUCGAAGUGUGCAUGCGAGGUUAUAGAUUGUUUUGUCCCUAAUGUGAUUUUGUUGAUGUGUUGAUUUCCAAUCUGGAUCUACAUCGGUACGAAACAAAGGCGAAUUGUGAGCUAUUGAUUAAGGUUGCAUACUAAAUAACACUUAAAAAUGUUUCACAGCUAACCAACAUCAUUUGAAAAUUCUACACAUUUUUCUAAUCAACUUUUCAUAUAUAACAUGUCAAAAUUGAAGUUACGGUUCUUAAGUUAUUGAUACUUUUAAAAAGUAUUUGAAUCUGCCCCCAAAAUAUAAUGUUAUUUUCUAGAUGGACUAAGGGUUUAUUAAAUGAAAUAUCAGGGAGUUUUAUACAAAAAGUAAAACAUUUUCUGGUGUCACUUAAAACAGGAUUGUGGGUUUACCAUUUUCAUUGCAAAAAGCUUUUUCUUUGCGGGAUGAUAGCCAUGCACGUUCCCUUUAGAUGGCCCAAAUUUAUGGCCGGUUUAGGAACUACGCCUACUAAAAAUAGCUUAGGAUGGGUUUUAACCUUUUUUUUCUUGAAAAAAAAUAUGUUUUUGGUUCCUCAAAUUUGCCGAAAUUAUAGAUCUGGUCCGUCAAAAAAUGUAGAAACAAAACAUAUAAUUUAAAAAAGUUAAUCAUAUACUCCCUCCGUCCCAAAAUUGUUACAUCCGUAUCUAGACAAAUCUAAGACAAGAACUUUGGGACGGAGGGAGUAUAUAAGAAAGGUCAAAACUAUAUGUAAAAUGUUUUAGAUGUAUACUAAAAAUGUACAAUAUAUGAAAACAAUAGUUAUCAAAACAUAUAUCUGAAAAAAUGGUAAUCAUUUAUUUGAAAAAAUGUUAAACAUAUAUUAAAAAAUGUUUUACAUAUAACUAAAAUGUUUGAUGUAUAAAAAAUAUAUAAUAUGUACAAAAAUGUAGGCAUGUGUUUAAAAAAUAAAAAUAAUAAGAAAGAAACAAAGAAAACAGAAAAGGAAAACAAGAAAAUCGGAGAAAAAGUGCAAAAAAGAAAAGGGAGACAAGAAAAAAUUUGGGAAAAAAUGGAAAGGAACAAAGCAAAGAAAACGAAGAAACAAAUCAGUGAAAAUCGAGAAAGAAACAAAUAAAAUGGUAAACCGCAAAGUAAAAAAGAACAACAAAGAAAACCGACAAAGAAACAAAUAAAACUGGAGUAAAACAAAGAUAAAAAGUUGAAACAGUGAAAACCGAUGCAAAAGCAGUGAAAAACAACCAAAAACAAAAGCAAAGAAAAACAGUAAGGAAACAACAGAUAAACCGAGAAAACCAGUAAAGAAAACAAGAAACCAAAGCAGGGAAAAAUCGAAACAAAACAACAGCGACCAAACGAAACGCAUGACCGGGAAAACAGCAACGCCCGAAUGAAUGUACUUAGCCGACGCAUACGCGUGGGUGUUGUGGGCGAGGGGAGCUACCAUCUCGCUAUAAGUGAGAUAUAGCUUGUGCGGAAUUUUCUUACUAAACACUAGUAUUCCUCCCGACGCGUUGCGACCCUAUUCGCUGUCCAAUAGGCUUUGUAAAUAAUUAUUCUGGUUAUAAAAGCAUACGGGAAAUAGAGGAUGCUCCUUCAUCUCAAUAAAAGUGCUCAUAUGGCAGGCCCACGUGCCAAAGUGAAUUUUUGAAAUAUUCUUCUUUAUUUGAUUAAGUAGAGGGAAUCUACUGUUAUCACCCUUUGCAUGCAUGAAUUCUCUUGUGGAUAGAGUCGGGCGCACCAUAAGACUAAAAUGGGCACACGCCCCAAACAUUCAUGAUGAAAUUUGAAUGGUAGAAAACCAAAGUACUCCUUCCUUUUUAUUUACUCUGCAUAUUAGGUUUAACUAAAGUCAAACUUAAGUUUGACCAACUUUACAAAAAAAUAUACUUUUACCUUAAUGAAAAUAUAUGAUGUGAAAGUACAUUCAAUAGUGAAUCUAAUGGUAUUAAUCUGUUAUUGUAUAUGUUAAUAUUUUUUGGCCGUUUUUUCCUUACUGCUUUUCUUUGCUCGAAACUUCUAUUGCACACUGGCACUUGAUUUGUUUAUAAACUUUGUCAAAGUUUAUUAGCUUUGGUCCAUAUUAGCUUUUGUUCAACCCAGCUCGAAACUUCACUUGAACACCGGCACUUGCUUAAUUUUGCCUGCUAUGAAGUUAGAUACUGAACUAUGGCAGGAUAUUUGCACAGUUCUGUGGUAUUGAGUCUAUGAGAUUUUGCAGAUGGUGCGAUAUGGCUUCAAUCUGAACGUCCCUCCAUAUCCGUGAGAGUAGGGAAUCUCUAGCUGUGAACACUACCUGAAUCAUACCCUACGCCGCGGCAAAGGGCCUAAAACACUCGGCAAAGUCUUUGCCGAGAAUUGUUCUCGGCAAAGUCUUUGCCGAGAAUUGUUCUCGGCAAAGGCCACUCGAUGUCCCACGUCCAACGCCGAGUGGAUGCUUUGCCGAGAUCUCCUCUCGGCAAAGCUAACGAUUAGCAAACCAGCCACGUGUCCACCACCUGACUGGCGGGUCCCACUACCUAUGCCGAGCAUCAACUUUGAAGAUUAUACAAUUUCCACUUUACCACUAUUUAUAAAAAUGUAGUCAAUGUUAGAAAAGUUUGACUGUGUCAUUCUACAAAGUAUAUUCUUUCACUAUGGCGAAUAUAGGGGGAACUGCAGAAUCCUCAAGCAGGAUUUUCAUGGGAAAACCCCAGCUUUCCUCUGGUUCUGUCAUCCUCUCGAUUCCUGAUUGUGUGGGCAUGAUUCAUAACAAGAGCAUCCUUAUGUACUCCUCAAGGACGGGGAGCGUCUGCCCUUCGCCGUAGCCAAAGAGGACCCUCACCAUCCUCGCGAGGUUUAGCGAGAUCCGGGUCAUGCUGGGCGGGAAUGUCCUCCUGGAGAAGCACUCCCUGUUGAGCUCCCCCCACUCACUCUCGAUCAGCGCCAGCAUAUGCCCCUUCGCGUCGCCACCGGGGUUCUCUUUCAGGUACAACUCCUUGUAUGAUCCGUCCAGGCCAUCUUGCGCUUCGUCCUGCAUGGUGCAAGAAUGGUGAUCAUGUUAUGGUAUCUUAAACCAGUGGGGCUAAGAUUCAUUAGAAAUUCUAGGUUUCUAAUUAAGCAGGGGGGUAAUUUCAGCAGUUGGAAUCUGACCUUGGCACUGCCCAUGUCAUCCCAAAGUCUCAAGAUCUUUGACGGGCAGGAGAUUAUCGGAGGGAUACGGCCGGCCGUGAGGUUUGUAGCAUCCCUUGUUGGAUCAUGUCCUAGCAUGGAAAAGAGAUGCACAAGUGCAAGUGGUCCUCCUGUAGUGAUGACGCCGUUCGAUAGGUAGUCAUCUAGGGAAGGAACAUGAUUAGCAGACAACCAUUUCGCCUCAAGCAAAAAUGCAUCGAAAAGCAUGGCCCACUGCAAAAGAAAAAUGAAUUCACUAUUUUCAGUUGAUUAUUAUUUUCCUUUUUUUAAUAUAUUUAUACAUGAACUUAAAUAUUCUCAAAUAUUAUAUAUUGGAUAGAUACAUAUGUUGCUCGUCCAACAAACAAUUUAGUUGGUUAUCUAGACAAAUCAGGAAAUCUAAAAGAAUAAAGAUAUUCCAAGAGACAUACAUCUUUUUUGAGAUGAUCAAUAGGGUUCAGCCCAUGUUCUCUUUCAGCCAUAUCUGCGAUGUCAUUUGUGAUUGUAUAAAGAGAACUGUAGCAUGAUCUCAUGUAGCUUGGAAGUGAUGCAGCAGCUGCAAGAUCCCACCUGUAAGAAAUGCAUUUUCUAACAUGAAAUUUCGGUUACACAAUACUGACAGUUACUGUUGAUCAUAAACAGCGAGAUGAAUUUAUAGUAGCCAGAAAGGAAAAGCCUACGUUCUGAUUGCCUCGGUGAAGCGAGAAAGCUCCUCUUGUGUUGCAACAACAUCAAAGAUGUCAUCCACAAUACUGACAAUUGCAAUGAUUUUGGUUAUCUCAAUCCGGUAUCUGGAGAAGGAUUGCCCCUGGAGGAUAGUCAUGGGAAACAUGUACCAUUUAAGAAUUUGGUCACGCGUAGCUGGUAUUUCUUGAGCCAAUCCCAGGCCCAUCCACCAUCUGUCACAAUGACAUUUAGAAGUUAAAGAAGAAAUUUGUCAAUACCCCCAAAGAUAGGUAUAAAAUGGAGAAUGUUAUCUAAUGUGAAGAUGGUAAAUCAACUUGGAAGACAGAUUAGGUACUAAUUUUCAACUCAGUGGUCUUUGUGAUGGACCUGAGAAGAAACAAAUGCUCUAGCCACAUUCCUCUUCUGGGAGCUGCAGAUAAAACAUAAAGUUUGCAAGGAAUGAACUUAUAUAUGUACCUCUUAACCUCUUGCAUUUCCAUCUGAUGCUGCAACUUGUUAAGCUUGAAGUCUGCAAGUGCCAGCUCCUCCAUUGCAGUGUUCCGAGUGGGCAAGCUCUGGAGAUAGCUCAGGUGGUGUCUAGCCUUGUACUGCAUCAGGCUCACAUGGUAGGGAUGAUCCAGUGAAUGCCUCACAUAUCUUGCAAGGUUUAGGUCCAAGUGUUUAAUUGCAGAAGUGAGGUGUUUCCUUGAGAAGUCAUUUGCCUUGUAUAGUGAUGCUUCUCCCAUGUUCAAGUGUGAUAUGUCCUGCAAGCUGAGCAACCCUCUGAUGUCUUUGGUAUGAUCAACGUUGAAGUCCUCGUUUUCAUUGACAAACUUUUGAAGAACCUCAUCUACCACAUCAAGGAUAAAGGUUUUUAGGAAUAUAAACUGUGGUUGCAAUAACAGGGCGAAAAUAAAUUUUACUUUCAGACACACAAGGGGUUGAGACAAGGGGAUUCCAUGUCUCCUCUCCAAUUUAAUAUAGUGGCCGAUAUGUUGACCAUUCUUAUAGGCAGGGCCAAGCAAAACGGUCAAGUGGAUGGGCUAGUACCUUGUUUGGUCGAUGGGGGAGUCUCCAUUUUACAAUAUGCUUACAACACUAUCUGUUCAUGAAACAUGACAUUGCAAAAGCGCAAAAUAUGAAACUCAUAUUAUGUCUUCGAACAUUGUCUGGAUUAAAAAUAAAUUUUCACAAGAGCGAGUUGUUCUGCCUUGAAGGCCAAAGAAGAGCAAGACACAUAUAGACAAUUGUUUGGGUGUGAAUUAGUUUCUUUACCUUUCAGCUAUUUGUGCAUACUGAUUCAUCACCGUAAGAUAUCUAAUAAAGAAUGGAAGUGCAUUGAAGAUCGAAUUGAAAAAUAGCUUAGUUGCUGGAAGGGCAAGCUAAUGUCGUAUGGAGGUCGGCUAGUGUUGAUAAACUCAGUACUUACUAGUAUGCCGAUGUUCCUAUUAUCUUUCUUCGAGGUACCAAAAGGGGUGUGGAAGAGACUUGACUUCUUUAGAUCUCGAUUCUUCUGGCAGUCAGAUGAGGCCAAGAAGAAAUACCGUCUCGCACGAUGGGAUAUUCUAUGCCGACCCAAGGACCAGGGGGGUCUCGGUAUUGAAAACCUGGAAGUUAAGAAUAAAUGUCUUAUGAGUAAAUGGCUCUACAGGUUAGAGACAGAGCCGGAGGGUAUGUGGGCAUAGAUAUUACGCAAUAAAUAUCUACAAUCAAAAACGCUAGCCCAGGUCACCGUGAGACCAACUGACUCGCCAUUCUGGAAGGGAUUCGUGUGAACGAAAGAUUUGUUCUUUCGUAGGGUCAAAUUCGUGGUUGGCAAUGAGAUGUCAACAAGAUUUUGGGAGGAUACGUGGUUAGGGGAGACGCCACUAGCCAUACAGUACCCCACCCUAUAUAACAUUGUGCAACGUAAGGAGGAUUACAUAGGCACCAUACUUCAAUCGACUCCCUUGAAUAUUCAGUUCAGACGUGCGUUAGUUAGUGAGCGAUGGACUACCUGGAUGCACUUGGUCCGGAGAUUGAUAGAUGUUCAACUAUCCGACCAACCAGAUUCGAUGCACUGGAAGUUAGCCAGAAAUGGGGUGUUUACGGUGAAAUCUUUUUACAUGGAUCUGACUAAUUCUGGACCAAUCUUGAGAUCGUUACAUAUUUGGAAGGUUAAGGUUCCCUUGCGUAUUAAAAUAUUUAUGUGGUUCAUUCACAAACAAAUGAUCCUAACCAAAGAUAACUUAAUAAAGAGGCGGUGGGUAGGUAGUUCACGUUGUUGUUUUUGUGAUCAUGUUGAAACAAUACAACACUUAUUCAUAGAGUGCCCAUUCGCGAAAUUGCUUUGGAGAACGAUCCAUAUAGCCUUUAACAUCACUCCUCCAGUUGACAUUGAAUUGUUAGUUGGGACGUGGUUAGCUGGGGUGGAGCAUAUUACUGCGAUUGAUAUUCGGAUUGAAAUAUGUGCGCUUCUUUGGGCUAUAUGGAAUUGCAGGAAUGAUAUGAUUUUUAACAGACAACCUAAUCUAACUUUCUUGCAGGUCAUCUUCAGAGCUACUGUAUGGAUCCGUACGUGGUCCUUACUCACUCCUACGGACUUCAGGGAGCCUUUGGUUACUAGGUGCAACCAGUGGGAGAUGGUAGCACGGGCUAUAUUCAACCAGUUCAGAUGGCGGUUGCAUAACAAGAUAGGAGUCUAGGGAGCUUGUCCUUUACAUUGUCAUACCUGUUGUAAUAUUGAACAUUCGCUUCUUUUUUCCUUUUUCGCUCCGCUUGCGAGCUGUAAUACUUUUAUGACUUUGUGCUACUUCGAGACUUCUUAAUAAAAUGGCUGCAUGCAUCAUCCGAUGCGGAGGCCGGGGCCGAGCCUCCAUUUUCAAAAAAGGGCAAAAAUAAAUUUAAUUCGAUAUGUGGAUUAGUCACAACUAGCUAGAACAACUUCUGGACCCUGACAAAAAAAGCGUACUAUUCUGCAUGACAAAUUCAUGACCAAUGAAUCAAAAGCCCUCGAGAAGGUCGCAAAUCCUCAGAGUUCCCACAUCCUCUAGACCAGUCAUUCCUCUACGCAAGGUCAGUCACCACUCACCACGCACCACCACAGGAGAGUGCCAGCAAGCCAAGAUUUUAGGUGUGACAGCCAUUGCCGAGAAGGAACAUGCCCCACAUGGCAAAGUUUUUUAUCUUUUUAUAGUAAAUUAUGAUUUUGAACUAUCUUAUAAAUCUUGUACUGAAUUUGAAGACCAUGAACAGUAAAAAUGACUUGGGCCCAUGAACACCGUAAACAAAAUGAGGGAUCAUUUCUAUACUAUCGAAAAAUAUAUGAUAAGUGUACUAACCUGCUGAAAUAUCAUAUCCAUCUUCUCUCAGUAGCCUGAAGGAAAGUGUUGCAUCUAGUAGAUCAUCACUGUCAACAAGAUUCAAGCACGCAUCCAUGCCAUCAUUGAUCUCGUUUUGGAAAUAGUGGUCGAUGCAGAGGCGCUUGAGGUGAUCAAUAUCAGUCAUCACCUUCCUCUUUUCCUUAUGGUUUUGAUGCAGCAUUUCCUUAACACUCUUCAGGCCCUCCUGUUAUUCCAUGGAGAGAGAAAAAAAAUUAAAAUGCAAAAAUGGGAGAUAUGGGAGACUUUAUGUUUCACUUUGCGAGGCUAAUUCUUCUAUUCAUCAAAGGGGAAAAAACAGGCUACUUUCCUAUCUUCUCCAAGGCUUAUAGCAGCGCAGUUAGUCAGUUCUUUUCCGAGUAAUUCAGUUAGUCAGAAAUUUAAAUGGUUAGAAAAAAUAUAUCUAAUUCAAUAACAAGCCUUAAAGUCACAUUGGAGAACUGAUGGUGAUGUGAAUAAAUUUCUACCAAGAAUAAAAGCUCUCAGUUCAUCUUGGUAGUCCAGAUAAAUAGGGGGUGUCUGCUAAGUCCAGAUGAGACGUGCGGAGGCUGGUUAAGCCGGAGAAAUAGAAAAACUAGGGCGUUUGAGCGCCAGGGGUACGCGGCUAAGUUUUUUUUACCGGAGCUGGGAGCUACCUGUGGAGAAUCUACCAUUCACUUGGUUUCUCUGAGAUUCGUGCCAGCCUUUUGUGUAUAAAGUAAAAAUAAUUUGCUAUGCAAUACAGACAUUAGACAAAGGAAUACAUCUAUGCAUGUGAGAUGUGUGACAACUUUUGAUGUGACAGGACUGGGUGACUGAUGAAGAGGACGGCGCAUGGGUUCUCUGCCCCAAACAAAAUAGUUGCAUUUUAUUUCCUGGUCAUAUUUUGAAUGGUUAAUAACUAUGAACCAAAUUUCAGUAAUUGAAUUUUUUUUGUACAUUUGAAGUCAGGGUGAUAAGACCUUUAAAACAAGACCGGUCUUGAAUACAAUUUGGCUAGAUUGAAUUUUACUGUUUCAAUUAGUUUCACAUUGCAAAAAGUACGAUUUUAUUCAUUUCAAUAAACAGAGUUUACUCAUUCCAAAAAAAAUAUUUCACUACUUUGAAAAUACAGAUUUCACUCAUUUACAAAUUGAUUUCAUAUAUAUAUCAAUAAGCUGGUAUAUAAUUUUUCAGAAAUAUAAUAUUUCAAGAAACUAAUUUCAGAAAACAUAUUACGCUCACUCAAUUGAAAUACUAUAUUUCACUUGUUUCAAAAAAGUGAUUUCACUCAUUACAAAAGAUAGAUUUCACUCAUUUUAGUAGUUUCAGAAAACUACUACACUCACAAUAUACACACUGAAAUAAGCGGUUUCCCUGAUUUCACUCAUUUGAAAGUACAAUUUUUGCUUGUUUCAUUUGAAAAGAAGUGCUUGAAUUAUUUCACUCAUUUUAGAGGACCGAUUUCAGUCCUUAUAAAAGAUUGAUUUUCAAUCGUUUUGACUUAAAAUAUAUGUUUCAAUUCCUUGAAAUGAUUUAUAUCUAUGAACUUAUGAAUUUUAUUUUUUGGACUAAGUGAAAUCUAUAAAACGAGAUAUUUUUUUGAGAAUGUGAAACACCUUAUUUUUAAAUCUAGUUGAAAAAUAUUCAAUAUUGAACUUGUUCUGUAUAUCAUGUUGCAAGGAAUUUGAAUAUAUAUAAAAAAUUCAGUAAUGGAUUUUUGUGAAAGACAGUGACCAUCUAAAAUUGUAAGCAAAAAUAAAAAGAUGCAUUUGUUUGAAAGGGCAGAGAGAGGAAAGAAGUUGCAUGCAUGCGUACGGUAUGCUGACAGAAGUAGUACCUGUAGCUGACAUACUAGUGCAAAGUGGUGAAAAGAGGUGGGCCAGCCAUCUGACAUACAACAGUGUUAUACAAGAGGUGGGUUAUGAAAAUAAAAAUGCUAUACUAGAGGUGGGCCACAUAAAUGCACGAAACGCAAACAAGACGAACGAUGGAUGCAUGGUUUGCCGGUACCUCCAGGAACCGGUAAAAAGAGGUUUGCGCGGGGGUACAUCGCCCCAAAAAAUUUCUCUUGUCUCGUGCACUUAUUCUUCUACCUUCGUAUAGGGUUAGACCCAACAGCCCAAACUUCGCGUGCCCAUGGCCACGAGGAACGAGGACGGCCGCGCGUUGCUGAUGGCCAGGAGGGGGGACUCGAUAUGGAGGAGAGGGAGGGAGGACGAGGAGACCGCAUAAGGCGCUGGAUUUGAGAGAGGAGAGAUUUUGGGGAGAUGAGACGGGAGAAUGGAUUUGUGUGAUUUGGAAGAGUCGAGGAGAAAGUGAGGGGAGAACAAAGAAUAGAAACCAAGGGGGAGAUAUUUUCUUUUUCUUUUUUUUAAAUCAAGAUAUUCUCUUUCUACUGGUGAUAAGGGCAUCUUCAACGGUGAACGCUUGUUGAGGCUUUUACAUGAUAGGAAAUGUACGGGAAAUGAUUGGGAUCAGCCGACGGAUAACGACGCGUGUGAUCCACCGCCACUGUGGCCGUUAGAUCAGGUUUUAAUCAGAUGGCUAGAAGCAACGUAUUACCUAGACUAGUUUUUGCAACUAAAGUCGUUCUUGCAAUCUCCCCCGCCGCAAAAACUGUUGUGUUGUGGGAUCUGGAUCCCCUCGACAUUGGCCACCACCCGUGCACCUCGCAAGAUCCCCAUCAAGCCAACUCUGUCUCGUGCUGCUUCGACCGCCGUCAUCGACGUUCGCCACCGGCAGCAUGCCGACAAGGUCGCGGGCGUGACCGCAGCCGUUGCCGCCCACCUCCACCAUGAAUGUUGGACGUCCUGGUGCGCCCGAACUCAAGCUGCAUCCCGCCGCCCAGUGGGAGCACCAGCAUCUGUGUCCUUGGGGGGGAGUUACGUCCACCUUCGCCCCACCGUCCCGAAGGAGCACCAGCCUUUCCUUAGGUCGACAUGGUCGAUGCUCUCUACAACCAGUUUCAGCAAUAAGGUAUGUUGCAAAAAAAAACUGUAACAAGACCUAUGUUGCAAAAUAAAUAGAUUUCAACAAGACCUUUGUUCCAAAAAAAAAUGCAACAAGACAUCUGUUGCAAAAAAACUGUAACAAGACAUAUGUUGCAAAAAAUAAUCGGCAACUUGAGCUAUGUUACAAAAAUUUCCGUAACAUAACCCCAACACGACAUGUGUUGCAAUGGUAGAAGGUUAAUCUUGGGCGCUCCAGAUUUGACGGCUCGUAAGGCGGCAGAUCUUUUAAAAAGAUCCAUGGGCCGACUGUGUAGGGUGUCCAUCCCUCCAACGCCAAUAGCAAUCUAUAGAUGGCCCAUGAUUUAUGAAAAAAGAAAAAAAGAAAACAGAAGCGCUCGAUGCCUUGCGCGGCAUUGACGCAAGCGAGAUUCCCUGUCUAGGGUGGGAAUCGGGCAUAACUGCCGGGAAAUCAACCUUGGUGUCGAUCGUUAGCAUCCGCGUUGUAAAUGCCCUAGGAGGAUGGAUUUGACCCUAAAGAAAGAUGGAUUUGGAUUUGGUUCCAGAUGUUACAAAUUUCUGUUUGGAAAUUCGGGGCCGCUCCAAUAUCCGAAAUUUGAAAAGAGUUUCAGAAAACAUAAUUCAAAAGAAUAAAAUAUGACCAAAAUCCAGUAGAGUUUUUGAAAACCGUGCAUCUUUGGUAAAAUGAAUCAUGUUCAUUGGAAGGGUCAACUUUCCAAGGGGCGUGCUAUUUGGCGGGCGCCCGCCAAAUUCCAUACUCAGCGGCCAAUCAAGUUUAGAAGUGAAUUUUUUCUUCAAAAAAAGUUUAGAAGUGUUUUUUGUUUAUUAUUGAAAUAAUAAUUGACAGAAAUAAAAGUAUUUUGGUUGUUUUUCUGUGAGGAAAUUUUGGUUGGGCUUCAUAGAUUCGCUAGUAAAAUCCUUCCAAAUAACAACCGUGUAAGCGAUAGUCUGGUUGCAUACCCCUUCGCUCUUGUACGCCAGGGCACCCUAUGCGCCUCCGUCGAUCGAUCUCGUGGUCUUAGUUCCAAGGAAGCGCGGUGGAUCUCGGCAGUUGCCGGCGGGAGGGCUUUGUUUUCAGAUGGUUUUUUAGUUUUGUUAGGCUUUGUGUACUACUCGGAGAGGGGAGGCGACGGCUCUCAGAAGAUGGAAUAAGGUCCUCCCAGCCUAACCCUCAUCUGGGUGGUGUUUCUAGCAUCAUCGAAGGGCAUGUGAAGGUUUCUCUCUGGCGGAUCUCAUGGGAUUAAGUCGGUGUUUGUCUUCCUGGAUCCACGUGGAUACGAUCUUCAUUCGUUUGUGUUCAUGUGCCUGCAAGUUGGAUCCUUCUGAUCUACACAUCUCUUCAUCGGCGGCGGUUGUUGACCUAGUGCGCUGGUCCAGUGGGGCUUUAUCAUGACGACUUCCCGACUGUCUACUACAACAAGAUUUGUCUGCCUCCCAUGAGGGAGGGGCGAUGACGGCGGCAUGCCUUCGGCUUGUUCCAGUGCAUGUAGUCGUCGCUAGGUGGUCUACGAACCUGGGUGUACUUUUUACUUCUAGUACUAUGUACUACGUUAACAGUUCAUGAAUAGAUUGAAAGUUUUUCACGCAAGAAAACCGUGUAAAAAAACAAAGUAUUGCAACCAGCGGCAGCUAGUAAUUUUUCUUAUUUUAGCAUAUAUGUAGUCUCUCUGUUCACGGAUAUAAGAUGUUUGAACUUUUACUGAGUCGGGUGUAUAUAGACAUCAGGGACGGGCCCAUAGUUGUGCGGGACUGUAUGGCCCACACAGGGCCCAUAGAUUUUGGGGGGCCCAAAUUGGUAUAAGGCCUAUGUAUAUUUUCUUCCUGCCGCGUCCAAGCGGCCUGCUCGAUGCCCCCCAAACGGGAUCCAUCGCAUCCUAUCCAGAGCUGGAGUUCCUAUGCGCCGCUCGUUGCGUGAAAAAUCCCCAAAAAGUCUGCUCGAGGGAGGGAUCAAACCAGGGACCUCCUGUUGCUUAUGCGCGAGCCUAGCCAACGGGAUAGAUGAGCUUCUUCGUGUACUAUGGCGUGUGAAGCUAAUGGUAAUAUAGAUCCGAGCAUUUUGUCAAAUUCUGAAGGCGAACAUUAUUUUGGAAAUAUGUUUUUUCAAAGGGACCACUUUUCAACUUUGAGAAGAAGAAAAAAAGCUCGAACAUUUCUUGAUAAACUGAACACUUUUUUGAAAAUGGCGAACAUUAUUGAAUAUGUGAAUAAAUUCUCAUUAAAGGCGACAUUUUUUGAAACUCUGGACAAUAAUUUGGAAACACGAAUAGUUUUGGAAUCGGUCAACAAUUUUUGAAACAAGAACAUUUUUUCAAACUCAGGACAAAAUUUGAAAAUGAAAACAUUUUAUAAAAUUCGAACAUUUUUUAAAAUUUUGAACAUUUUUUUAGAAAUAUGAACAGUUUAUCAAAUCAAGAAUGUUUUUUAGAACUCUGAUAUAUUCUAAAAAGGAAAAAGGAACAGGAGAAAAUAAGCAGAAAAACGAGAAAAGAAGAUGAACAUUUUUCAAAUUCGUUAGCAUUUUUUAAAAAGUCGAACAUUUUUUGAAAUUCCCAAACAAAAUUAGAAACAGACACAUUCUUGAAAGUUACGAACAAAAUUUGAAAUAGAAACAAUUUUUGAAACAACCAAAUAAAAUUGGAAAACAUGAACAUUUUUCUCAAAUUUGCGAAUGAAUUUUGAAAGAGGAACAUUUUUUACGAACUCCUAAACAAAACUUGAAAAUAUGAACAUUUUUUGAAUUUUGUGAACAAAAUUUUAGAACUAUGAAUAUUUUGAAUUUGUGAACAAAAUUUGGUAAGUAGAAUAAAAUUUUGAAAGAAAGGAAUUUCGAUAGCAUGAGCAGUUUUUAAAAUUGAAGAAUUUUUUUGAAAAUUUAGAACCUUUUUAAAAAUCUCAAACGUUUGGAAAUUCAAACAUUUUUUCAAUACAUGAACAAUAUUUUGAAAACCGGAACACAUUUUUUAAACUUUGAACAUAUUUUUUGAUAAGCGAACAAUUUUUUUAACUUCAAAAAUUUUUGUAAAGAACGAAUAGUUUUUACAUGCAGACAAAAUUUUAAUAGUUUGAAUAUUUUUAAAAUUAUGAAAAAUGAAAAACUGAAGAGGAGGAAAAAUAAAGAAAAGAAACAGAAAGAAAAGGAUGAAAAAAGAAAACUUGUAAAGGUAGAAAAGGAAAAGAUAGAGAAGAAAUAAUAAACAGGAAAAAGGAAAAAAAAGACGAAACAGAAACAGAAAAAAAGUGUUAGGAAGCUUCUAGAAGGUUCCCAAAACCGGAAAAAACGGCUGGGAACAAGCGAGAAGGUUCCUAAAACCGGAACAUCGAAACAUUUUACAGGCCGGCCCACGCGCGAACCCUCGAUCGAUCUCCCUGUGCGUCCGCCGGACAACUUGCGGCAGCGAGCGGCAUUCCAUCCAGAGGCAGCCAACGAUUGCCGCCCUCAAAAGAUUCAGCGUAGCGCUGGGUUUUUUUCCGCACUAAUUAUGUGUUGUACUAUGGCAGAAGAUAUAAUUACUUUAUGCCCAGCCAUAAUUACCUUCAUGUGCUGUGUACUGAAGCCCAAAACAGCCCACGCGCAUUAUCCUGUAUUUAGGCCACUGUGGUAAACUGUACUUUCAUUUGUAUGUUUGGCUUGUCUAAAAAAAAUUGUAUGUUUUCCAAGACCUAGCGUCCAUCUAUUCCGCGCCGCCGUCGCUGCCCUGUCGGUUGCCUUGUGAGUUGCCGGAUGCCACCUACACACCGCCGUCAUGGUUCGUCCAUCCUACACUGGCAGCAGUGCGGUGCGAGUAUUCAGUCCGCAGAUCACUGUAUUGUAUUGGCGUAUCCGUUUCUUGAGCAGUUAGAUCUAUAGGUAUGUAUUAAGUACUAGUUUUUAUUAUGUUGGUGGAUUUCAAUCCAGUAUUCUAGUGAUCUCGUUUACUUGCAUAUAAGACAACAGGUUAAUUCACAAAUUAGGUGUGUCGCUUUUCCAUAGUAGAUGACUUUGAUUAAUUUGGCAAAUCACAUGAUCACUUAACCCAAAUGAAAUUGCUGCAAUAGACCCCAUGGUCUAAAGUCAAUCUAAUAAUAAAGAUUCACAAGGAUCAUUUUCCGUGAAGUUUUAUCUAUUGCGUGGUCAUUCUCUUCCCUCAACCCCUUCAUGUUUAAAUCCUGGCUCCACUUCUGCGCUUGAGAGCAAAGUGUUGAAGAAGAUUAAUUACAAGGAUAUCAUUGAACAUUUCAUUUCAAAGAAUACUAAAAGAAUGACUUGUUCAAAUAAAUAUCAGGCAACCGGGAGUUGAAUAGGUAUGCUUUUUUACACAUCCAAUUGCUAUGUAAGACAUUAUAUCAUAUACGUUAUAUUGCUCAUUAGUUUAUUUUAGUGAGAUGGGGCCCCAUUUUUUAGUUUCGCACAGGGCUCUGGAUUUUGCCGACCCAGCCUUGAUAGACAUGUUCUAAUGUGUUUGUUCAGUCAUUUUAGUCUGUACAUAGUAAUAUUAAAAUAUCCAGAACAUCUCUUAUAUUUAUGAAGCGAGUGAGUACUAGUUAUGUAAUGUGUCUAUUACCGGUGCUCGAGUGUCUGAGUGUUAACUUGGAACCCACUAAGAUGAAUUUCUAGACCCGUCGCUUAUUGCAACGUUAGAUUGAAUCAAUAGAUAAUGAUAUUCUUCUCGCCUAGCUCAUCACCGAGACAUUCGAUUUAAAUAAUCUUGUAUCCUUAUUAUUGGCACAAACGCAAUCAGAAGUUUCUUUCUCUUUGGGUCGCGCUAACUGCCACACGUGUGGCAGGAAGGAAGACGCACCACACGUCUCUAAUGUAAACAGAUUGCCACGUCAUCGCAUGCAUGCAUGCAGGAAUUUUUUUGGAUUUUCAGUUUUUAAAAUGUUUUAUCUCUUAAACGAAAAAUCCGAUUGAAAAUCCGUUUUCACCAUUAAAUCCCUCGCGAUGAGAUCUUCGAAACUAGAUCCAAUGUUGAUAUGUUUUAAUGAAUUUUUUUUUGGAUUAAAAGUUGCCAUGUCUAUUGCAUAUGAAUUGUCAUGAUGUUUACACUGAAGUUGCCAUGAUAUGUUUCAGCUCUUUUCUUCUACAUUUAAAAGUAAAUUUUGACAUUUAUAAAACGGGGAAUUAAGAAACUAGACUUGCCAUGAACCAUAAACUAAAAUUGCCAUGAUACAUGCACGUAAAAUUGCCAUGGUUCAUACAAAAAAUAAUUUUCAUGGUCAAAGUACUAGAGUUGCCAUCAUCAAAAUACUAAAAUUGCCAUGAUCUACAAACUAAAAUUGCCACAUGGCAACUUUAGUUUAAGCCCUAUGGCAACUGCAGUGUAAACAUCGUGGCAACUUCUGACAAAAAAAAAAUCAUCGAAACAUAUCAACAUGGGGUCUAGUUUUGAAGAUCUCGUCGAGACGGAUUUAAUGGUGAAAACGGAUUUUUAGUUCGCUUUUUUAUUUAGAAGAUACAACAUUUUUAAGCCGAAAACCAAAAAAAAUUCUGCUGAUGUCAUCUAUUCAUACGUGGCAAAAUGAGUGGUGAUGGAGGCGUGUGGGCGAUGUGCAAACGCCCACACGUGUGGGCGUUAACAUUUUCGUUUUCUUUCUGUCACCAAAAUACUUCACUUACUGAGGGUUUUCUAUCCUGCUCCCUCUUAUUUUCCAUUUUCACAUGAAAGAUACGAGUAUAAAAUAGAUCUAAGCCGUUGAUUGUACUAAAUAGUGGGUUUGAUUAACUCUUAACUUCUUACCUUCCGUGUGAAAAGAGAGGUUUUUUAACAUGCUCCUCUUACUCUCUGUCUCCGUGCAUGUUAAAAUUGCUCUUAUAAAGAUUUACAAGACGACGUGCGAGUCGAGUCGAGCACCUCACCUGGAAGUCAAAACCAUCGGCCAUCGCGUGGGAGUCCCGGGUAGGGCUCGUCACCAUGCAAGGGCGGAAGGAUCGACGUCGCCGGCCGCCAACUCCGGCCACCGGCGAGGCUGAGAACAGCGGUGGCUCGACGGAGGAGAAGACGUGCGCCGCCAUCAGUCAGUUGCGACUAUCACCUCUGUAACCACACAACUGUUGGCUAAGGAGCAAGUGAGCAACUACCGUACUUGUCAAGCCGCCACGAACAAAUACAUAUAGGCAGCGACGAACAUUUAUAUUACUGCGCCGACGUACACACACGCAGGAUGUCUGGCCAGAAAAGGAGGUAGGAUUUUUUUUGCCGACCUUGCGCUGAAACUUCUCCACGUCCCUGGAUCUAAAUGACUAGGGUGAUUCGUAGCCUCCUUUCCCAUACAAAUGUUGUGGCGCCUACGGGGUAAAGCAGCAGCCAUAUAUAUCUGUGCUAGGUUGGAAGAGUGCUCACUAGAAGAGAGCUACGUCGUUGUUGCUACUAUAGAUUGCGCCCGCCCUGAAAUCUCAAUGACCGGGAUGGGUUUCAUACGGAAUCUGGGACGAAAUCUGCAAGUGGAGAGGAAGAGAUUUCGACAACAUAAUUUUUUCCAACUUCACAGAAAUGUACGUGCAUUUUUUAGGAAUGUUAGUUCAAACAUUUUAACAAAAAUGUGUGUACGACUAAAAAAGGUGUUCACGUGUAUGUAAAAAAAUGCCAUGUAGAAUAAAAAUGUUCAGUAUUUUUAUUAAAUGUUCAUGUAAUUAAGAUGUGUUCAUCUAUUCUGAAUAAAAUACAUGUACUUUUAAAGAAAUGUUCACAUAUUUUAAAAAGUGUUCAUAUACUUUCAAAACAUGUUCAUGCAUUUCCUGUGAAAGCGAUCAUGUUAUUAAUGAAAGCAUUCGUCCAUUUGAGAAAUUAUUCAUGUAAUUAAACAAGUUUUCCACCCAUUUGAAAAGUCUUCAUGUAAUUUUAAAAUAGUGUAAUAUUCAUGUAUUUUUUUAAACCCAUAUUUUUUUAAUAUCUUAGUAUAUUUUUAAAACAAAACAUGAAACUUAAAAUAGAAGAGAAAAAGGACAAACAAACAAGAAAAUAAAAAGGAAUAAAACACAAAACAAAAAAGAAACAUGAAAAAAGGAAAAACCCAACACAAACCAGCACAAAAAAACCCGACAAAAGAAAAUAGGAAAAAACAACUGAAACCAGUCCGGUCCACACCCCCACAGCUGGGUCUGGUCCCUACCUUCGCCCAAAUUUUUAUGGCCAGCGAUUUUGCUCGGCAGGUUCAUUAAUGAAAUGAAGUGUUUCGAGCUAAAAAAAA
rnacentral:lncRNA from 1 species